GUUAGGAUGACUGAGUGGUUUAAGGUGUCAAACUCAAGUUUUGAUUUUUGUAAAAGGGCGUGGUUCGAAUCCCACUUCUAACA
rnacentral:tRNA from 1 species